ensembl:miRNA MIR764 microRNA 764
AAUCUAGGAGGCAGGUGCUCACUUGUCCUCCUCCAUGCUUGGAAAAUGCAGGGAGGAGGCCAUAGUGGCAACUGUUACCAUGAUU